AUUGAACGCUGGCGGCAUGCCUUACACAUGCAAGUCGAACGGCAGCGGACCUUCGGGUGCCGGCGAGUGGCGAACGGGUGAGUAAUAUAUCGGAACGUACCUUUCAGUGGGGGAUAACGUAGCGAAAGUUACGCUAAUACCGCAUAUUCUGUGAGCAGGAAAGCAGGGGAUCGCAAGACCUUGCGCUGAUUGAGCGGCCGAUAUCAGAUUAGCUAGUUGGUGAGGUAAAGGCUCACCAAGGCGACGAUCUGUAGCGGGUCUGAGAGGAUGAUCCGCCACACUGGAACUGAGACACGGUCCAGACUCCUACGGGGGGGCAGCAGUGGGGGAAUUUUGGACAAUGGGCGCAAGCCUGAUCCAGCCAUGCCGCGUGAGUGAAGAAGGCC
rnacentral:rRNA from 1 species